GACGAACGCUGGCGGCGUGCCUAAUACAUGCAAGUAGAACGCAGUUGCGAGCGGGUGAGUAACGCGUAGGUACCUGCCUUAUAGCGGCGGAUAAAUAGUGGAAACGAUAGCUAAUACGGAAUACUGUGAGAUGGACCUGCGUUUGAUUAGGUAGUUGGGGAGGUAAAGGCUCACCAAGGCGACGAUACAUAGCCGACCUGAGAGGGUGGUCGGGCAACCUGGGACUGGGGCACGGCCCAGACUCCUACGGGGGGCAGGAGUAUGGAAUCUUCGGCAAUUGACCGAAGUCUGGCCCGGCAACGCCUCGUGAAUGAAAGAAGUUUUCGGAUCGUAAAGCUCUGUUGGUAGGGAAGCGGUAACUAACCAGAAAGGGACGGCUAACUACGUGCCAGCAGCCGCGGUAAUAC
rnacentral:rRNA from 1 species